rnacentral:rRNA from 1 species
UACGUAGGUGGCAAGCGUUGUCCGGAUUUACUGGGCGUAAAGCGCGCGUAGGCGGCUUUGCAAGUCGGGUGUGAAAUCCCCCAAGCUUAACUUGGGAACUGCAUUCGAGACUGCAUUGCUAGAGUAUGGGAGAGGGAAGUGGAAUUUCCGGUGUAGCGGUGAAAUGCGUAGAUAUCGGAAGGAACAUCAGUGGCGAAAAGCGACUUCCUGGACCAAUACUGACGCUCAUGUGCGAAAGCGUGGGGAGCAAACAGGG